GACGGAGGGUGCUAGCGUUGUUCGGAAUGACUGGGCGUAAAGGGCGCGUAGGCGGCCGCUUGCGUCGGAUGUGAAAGCCCGGGGCUCAACCCCGGAACGGCAUCCGAUACGGGGCGGCUCGAGACCGAGAGAGGUGAGUGGAAUACCCAGUGUAGAGGUGAAAUUCGUAGAUAUUGGGUGGAACACCGGUGGCGAAAGCGGCUCACUGGCUCGGUUCUGACGCUGAGGCGCGAAAGCGUGGGGAGCAAACAGGG
rnacentral:rRNA from 1 species